GACGAACGCUGGCGGCGUGCCUAAUACAUGCAAGUUGAGCGCUGAAGGUUGGUACUUGUACCAACUGGAUGAGCAGCGAACGGGUGAGUAACGCGUGGGGAAUCUGCCUUUGAGCGGGGGACAACAUUUGGAAACGAAUGCUAAUACCGCAUAAAAACUUUAAACACAAGUUUUAAGUUUGAAAGAUGCAAUUGCAUCACUCAAAGAUGAUCCCGCGUUGUAUUAGCUAGUUGGUGAGGUAAAGGCUCACCAAGGCGAUGAUACAUAGCCGACCUGGGAGGGUGAUCGGCCACAGUGGGACUGAGACACGGCCCAAACUCCUACGGGAGGCAGCAGUAGGGAAUCUUCGGCAAUGGACGAAAGUCUGACCGAGCAACGCCGCGGGAGUGAAGAAGGUUUUCGGAUCGUAAAACUCUGUUGGUAGAGAAGAACGUUGGUGAGAGUGGAAAGCUCAUCAAGUGACGGUAACUACCCAGAAAGGGACGGCUAACUACGUG
rnacentral:rRNA from 1 species